AAACUAUUGGCUCACAUCCCUCAAAAAUGGCAAAUCAGUGAUUUUCCUAGACUAUUAACAGACAGAGGCACUCAGAGUUUAGCUCAUGCUGCUCAGCUGAGCCUGCUCUCAGCUGAAGUUUGCCAAGGGCAGGCAAUGUUCUUAAAGGAUUCAUUUUACUGGUGAUAUGCAGUAUAAGGCAAGGACACAUGAAGGCUCAUCAUAAUUAUUCCUACCAAAUCUGUGAAACUUCCUGAGGAAGAAGUGUAAAGCAAGAGGCCCCACUCCACACUCUGUGUAUCCAUGCUGCUUUUCCUGCUGAAGAUACCAACCCAAGGGAAACUGAGCCCAUGAAACUUAGAAAGACCCUUCUGUCUUGGAUGACCCCAAUCCACCUACCUUCAUGCCCUCUUGAAAAUGCUACCCAAAUGCAGGACAAGCUGGAGAUCCAAAAAAGAUCAAUCCAGAGCUAA
rnacentral:lncRNA from 1 species